UAGUGUGAACUAUGGUGGUGGAACUUACAUAGUACGAUGCAUCGUGACACUGCGUCAGUGUUUCCCAAAACCAUAGUAGCAACUAACGUUCGCAACCACUAUCGUAAAGUUGUGUAGUUACAGCUACACCUCUCGACCUGUAGUAUGUAGUAAGAACCAUAGUAGACGACGUAACCCUGAUGACGGAACACGCAGAGGACAGAUGGAUGAGAGGUAGCCAUUAAACGAUCCCAUAACAUUGCUGUGGGAUACCAUACCAUAGCAUUGCUGGAAGCUACAAUUGCACAUUACUGGACAACGUUAUGUGGUACAGUGGAAAGUGAAGUGUUGUGGAGUUAGCCCACAACAGAGCGGCCUGUGGUGAAGUGCUAUGGUGACCGCAAUCAUCUGUGUUGUUAUUAUUCGUGAAUUUACAUGUAGCCUAAUGCUAAUGUGUCAGCACAGAUUCUUUCGAACACCCGUUAAGUUAAGUUAUCUGGUGAUAAAGCUUUUGAAUGCCAACGGUAUUGUUAUGUGAGGCUAGCAUUGUAAUUGUUAUAAAAGGAUAACGUUACAUUGUAGUCGUAUUUUAGUGUGUUUGGAUGAAGCAUCUGCUAAUCAUACACAUAGCUAACGGUAUAUGGACUCUACAGCCCAUUAUGAUGUGGUGAAGUGACUGUGCUGUGGCAGAGACUGUAGCGUGUGUGCUUUACAUGAGAGAGGUCAGGGGUUCAAGACUGAGUCGAUGGGUGUGAGGUAUGGGUAGGCCUGUCAUGGGAGGCGGAAAAAUGGCCAGCAGGAAGGUGUGCAGCAGCCACUGGAAUGACCUCUUCCACCUCCUCCACUAACAGCUCCUCAUCAGCCGGCAGUGGGAUGUGAUCCUGAAGGGCCAUGUUGCAGAAGCGCCGCCACUAAAACUACACUGCACGCCUUUGCAGGAUGGAGCUUCAGGCCACCAGCGGAUUUGCUCACACACCUUUCCACAUGCCCAGGGCCCUCUCCAAAACAACGCGGGUCCGGCUAUGGGCGUUGUUGUAUCGCGCCUCUGCCUCGCUGUUGGGCUCCUAGAUGGAGCAGUUGACAUGCUUGUAUUAUCAUAGGGGGUUGAUGGAAUAAAGUAGGUCUUGAAAUGUCAGUGCACUCAGGAAAUAUAGACAUGCAUUUGAAAACAACAGUAUAGACUUUGCUACUAUCUCAGCAGCAGAAGGCAACAACAUGAGCAGCACCUACAAUAACACU